UAGUAACAGUAGCUCUCUUACCUCUUUCUGAAGUCCAAACUUUCCUCUCUUAUCUGCUCAACAUUGUGCUGCGGAGAGUUGGUUGCGCCUGGGAAGCCUGAGCAGAGUGACGAGGUGCUCUGCCCAAUCACAGCAGCCCACGGAGGAGCGGACGGACCUUUAGCGACCGGCCACGUCAGGAAGCUCGUCAGGUCCGGCUCAAGCGAUCGUGGGGAAGAGUGCAAGCAGAUCCAUGAAAAAUUGAAUGGAAGGAAAAGAAUGAAGUAUUCAGACUCACUGUGUGGGACUCCAGCUCAGAGAUCUUCUCUGGUUGA